ACACUGCUGAUGAGUCCCAUAAUAGGACGAAACGGCCGUCCAGUGC
rfam:Schistosoma mansoni strain Puerto Rico chromosome W, complete genome